AUUGAACGCUGGCGGCAUGCCUUACACAUGCAAGUCGAACGGUAACAGGUCUUCGGACGCUGACGAGUGGCGAACGGGUGAGUAAUACAUCGGAACGUGCCCAGUCGUGGGGGAUAACUACUCGAAAGAGUAGCUAAUACCGCAUACGAUCUGAGGAUGAAAGCGGGGGACCUUCGGGCCUCGCGCGAUUGGAGCGGCCGAUGGCAGAUUAGGUAGUUGGUGGGAUAAAAGCUUACCAAGCCGACGAUCUGUAGCUGGUCUGAGAGGACGACCAGCCACACUGGGACUGAGACACGGCCCAGACUCCUACGGGAGGCAGCAGUGGGGAAUUUUGGACAAUGGGCGAAAGCCUGAUCCAGCAAUGCCGCGUGCAGGAUGAAGGCCUUCGGGUCGUAAACUGCUUUUGUACGGAACGAAAAAGCUUCUCCUAAUACGAGAGGCCCAUGACGGUACCGUAAGAAUAAGCACCGGCUAACUACGUGCCAGCCGCCGCAGUAA
rnacentral:rRNA from 1 species